rnacentral:pre_miRNA from 1 species
CACAUUCAUCGCUGUCGGUGGGUUGUGCUGCUUGACUCGAACCCGCUGAGCGAUGAGUGAAA